GUGUUCUGUAUUAUCGUGUUUUGGUCUAUCUGUGCUAUUCUAGAAUGAAAACAAUGUUCAAUAAGUAUAAACUAAUAUAUAAAUCUACCGUUAAACUAAAAAAAACAUAGCUUUUGUUUUUCACAACUUUGCAGCCACGUGUAUUACAGUUAACAGAGCAUUCAACACUUUCUAAUCUGUGGCUGCUAGUCUUAUGGUAAACAGAUGGCAGAAGAAAGUGCAGCAACUGACACGUUUUUGGACGAGGCAAACAAGUUAUUCGAAACAUACUGCGCUGAGUGGUAUAAGAAACCUGAUGCAGAGAGGCGACCUCUAAUGUUUCCACCAGCACCUUCACAAACAUUUAUCGACGUUUACAAAGAAUCGGACGUUGCUUCCAAUGGAAAAAUUAAAAGAGACAAGAAAAGCCAAGAUGACUACGAAGCCGAAGUUUUAGUGUAUAGAGCACUCGAACAGUUAGACGAACCUAUAAUAGUCUUACACGGGCUAGAAUACACUCAUAAACAGUUCCGAAUGUGGGAUUUUAACCAUGACGAAAAACACUGCAGCAGUGAAACAA